CCUACGGGUGGCUGCAGUGAGGAAUAUUGGUCAAUGGUCGGGAGACUGAACCAGUCAAGCCGCGUGAGGGAUGAAGGUACAGAGUAUCGUAAACCUCUUUUGUCAGGGAACAAAGGCGGGGACGUGUCCCUGGAUGAGUGUACCUGAAGAAAAAGCAUCGGCUAACUCCGUGCCAGCAGCCGCGGUAAUACGGAGGAUGCGAGCGUUAUCCGGAUUUAUUGGGUUUAAAGGGUGCGCAGGGGGGCUGUUAAGUCAGCGGGUAAAGCCCGGGGCUCAACCCCGGCCCCGCCGUUGAAACUGGCAGUCUGGAGUUGGGGAGAGGUAUGCGGAAUGCGCGGUGUAGCGGUGAAAUGCAUAGAUAUCGCGCAGAACUCCGAUUGCGAAGGCAGCAUGCCGGAUCCACACUGACGCUGAGGCACGAAAGCGUGGGUAUCGAACAGGAUUAGAUACCCGGGUAGUC
rnacentral:rRNA from 1 species